rnacentral:lncRNA from 1 species
CUGCUGGAGCUAGAAAUCUUGAACCUGGAACCCUCAAAAGAGGGCUGUUGAUGUACAAGGGCUGAAUCGUCACAUUGACUUUCAUGGCUUUGUGAUGAUUUACCGCAGGCAAAUGGUUGGAGACGAUAACCUUCAGCUUCUUCAAGGAAGUACUUCAACAACUUCAGGAAAAUCUGAACAGACCAUGGACAUAUAUGGAAGGAGAGGAUCCUUUCCACGCUCAUCUCUGAAUGCUCUCACUUGGGAAUGACCUUAAAGGAAGAGCUGUGUUA